GGGGAUAACUACUGGAAACGGUAGCUAAUACCGCAUAACGUCGCAAGACCAAAGAGGGGGACCUUCGGGCCUCUUGCCAUCGGAUGUGCCCAGAUGGGAUUAGCUUGUUGGUGGGGUAACGGCUCACCUAGGCGACGAUCCCUAGCUGGUCUGAGAGGAUGACCAGCCACACUGGAACUGAGACACGGUCCAGACUCCUACGGGAGGCAGCAGUGGGGAAUAUUGCACAAUGGGCGCAAGCCUGAUGCAGCCAUGCCGCGUGUAUGAAGAAGGCCUUCGGGUUGUAAAGUACUUUCAGCGGGGAGGAAGGGAGUAAAGUUAAUACCUUUGCUCAUUGACGUUACCCGCAGAAGAAGCACCGGCUAACUCCGUGCCAGCAGCCGCGGUAAUACGGAGGGUGCAAGCGUUAAUCGGAAUUACUGGGCGUAAAGCGCACGCAGGCGGUUUGUUAAGUCAGAUGU
rnacentral:rRNA from 1 species